GAUGAACGCUGGCGGCGUGCCUAAUACAUGCAAGUCGAGCGAACAGACGAGGAGCUUGCUCCUCUGACGUUAGCGGCGGACGGGUGAGUAACACGUGGAUAACCUACCUAUAAGACUGGGAUAACUUCGGGAAACCGGAGCUAAUACCGGAUAAUAUAUUGAACCGCAUGGUUCAAUAGUGAAAGACGGUUUUGCUGUCACUUAUAGAUGGAUCCGCGCCGCAUUAGCUAGUUGGUAAGGUAACGGCUUACCAAGGCGACGCUGCGUAGCCGACCUGAGAGGGUGAUCGGCCACACUGGAACUGAGACACGGACCAGACUCCUACGGGAGGCAGCAGUAGGGAAUCUGCCGCAAUGGGCGAAAGCCUGACGGUGCAACGCCGCGUGAGUGAUGAAGGUCUUCGGAUCGUAAAACUCUGUUAUUAGGGAAGAACAAAUGUGUAAGUAACUAUGCACGUCUUGACGGUACCUAAUCAGAAAGCCACGGCUAACUACGUG
rnacentral:rRNA from 1 species